rfam:Firmicutes bacterium CAG:272 genomic scaffold, scf70
AUAAUGAUACUUCUGUCUCUUUGCAAUACAAGGGGCGGCUCGGAGCGAUCCUCGGAGGGGUGAGAGUCCCAUGA